rnacentral:rRNA from 1 species
UAGGGAAACCGAGUCUUAACCGGGCGUUAAGUUGCAGGGUAUAGACCCGAAACCCGGUGAUCUAGCCAUGGGCAGGUUGAAGGUUGGGUAACACUAACUGGAGGACCGAACCGACUAAUGUUGAAAAAUUAGCGGAUGACCUGUGGCUGGGGGUGAAAGGCCAAUCAAACCGGGAGAUAGCUGGUUCUCCCCGAAAGCUAUUUAGGUAGCGCCUCGUGAAUUCAUCUCCGGGGGUAGAGCACUGUUUCGGCUAGGGGGCCAUCCCGGCUUACCAACCCGAUGCAAACUGCGAAUACCGGAGAAUGUUAUCACGGGAGACACACGGCGGGUGCUAACGUCCGUCGUGAAGAGGGAAACAACCCAGACCGCCAGCUAAGGUCCCAAAGUCAUGGUUAAGUGGGAAACGAUGUGGGAAGGCCCAGACAGCCAGGAUGUUGGCUUAGAAGCAGCCAUCAUUUAAAGAAAGCGUAAUAGCUCACUGGUCGAGUCGGCCUGCGCGGAAGAUGUAACGGGGCUAAACCAUGCACCGAAGCUGCGGCAGCGAACGUAUCACCCAAGACAACUUUACGGAGUUGACGAUUGACGGAGCGAAGCGACGUCAAAGCGUUCAUUAAAGUCGAGUUGGCUUAGGGAUACGUUCGUUGGGUAGGGGAGCGUUCUGUAAGCCUGUGAAGGUGUGUCGUGAGGCAUGCUGGAGGUAUCAGAAGUGCGAAUGCUGACAUAAGUAACGAUAAAGCGGGUGAAAAGCCCGCUCGCCGGAAGACCAAGGGUUCCUGUCCAACGUUAAUCGGGGCAGGGUGAGUCGACCCCUAAGGCGAGGCCGAAAGGCGUAGUCGAUGGGAAACGGGUUAAUAUUCCCGUACUUGGUGUUACUGCGAAGGGGGGACGGAGAAGGCUAUGUUGGCCGGGCGACGGUUGUCCCGGUUUAAGCGUGUAGGUGUGUGUUCCAGGUAAAUCCGGUUCACUUUAACACUGAGGCGUGACGACGAGGCACUACGGUGCUGAAGCAACAAAUGCCCUGCUUCCAGGAAAAGCCUCUAAGCAUCAGGUAACAC